GAUGAACGCUGACAGAAUGCUUAACACAUGCAAGUCAACUUGAAUUUGGGUUUUUAACUUAGGUUUGGGUGGCGGACGGGUGAGUAACGCGUAAAGAACUUGCCUCACAGCUAGGGACAACAUUUGGAAACGAAUGCUAAUACCUAAUAUUAUGAUAAUAGGGCAUCCUAUAAUUAUGAAAGCUAUAAGCGCUGUGAGAGAGCUUUGCGUCCCAUUAGCUAGUUGGAGAGGUAACGGCUCACCAAGGCGAUGAUGGGUAGCCGGCCUGAGAGGGUGACCAGCGACACGGGGACUGAGAGACGGCCGAGAGCGGUACGGGAGGAAGCAGUGGGGAAUUUUGGACAAUGGGGGAAAGUGUGAUCGAGCAAUGCCGCGUGUGUGAAUACGGCUUUCGGGGGGGAAAAAAAUAUUGUCAGGAAAGAAAUCCGUGGCACUAAAACGGUCGGGGGAUGACGGUACCGGAAGAAUAAGCACCGGCUAACUACGUG
rnacentral:rRNA from 1 species